rnacentral:rRNA from 1 species
GACGAACGUUGGCGGCGUGCUUAAUACAUGCAAGUCAACUGAAGCAGUGGUAGCAAUAUCGCUGUGGAGGUGGCGCACGGGUGAGUAACACGUAGGUAAUCUGCCUUCAGGUCUGGCAUAACUCCGGGAAACCGGGGCUAAUAGCAGAUGAUGCAGCGGCUCGACAUCGAGACAGUUGUUAAAGCUAUGGCGCCUGAAGAUGAGCCUGCGUCUGAUUAGCUAGUUGUCGGGGUAACGGCCCACCAAGGCAACGAUCAGUAGCUGGUCUGAGAGGAUGAUCAGCCACACUGGAACUGAGACACGGUCCAGACUCCUACGGGAGGCAGCAGUAAGGAAUAUUGCUCAAUGGGAGAAAUACUGAAGCAGCAACGCCGCGUGAGGGACGAAGGGCUUUUGCUUGUAAACCUCUGUAGUGAGAGAAAAAAAUCCCAAUCUUUGGGACAUGAUGGUAUCUAAAAAGUAAGCCCCGGCUAACUACGUG